rnacentral:rRNA from 1 species
AUGCAAGUCGAACGAGAGCGUAGAGAAAGCUUGCUUUUUCUACAAUCUAGUGGCAAACGGGUGAGUAACGCGUAAACAACCUGCCCUACGGAUGGGGACAACAGCUGGAAACGGCUGCUAAUACCGAAUACGUUCCGAAAGUCGCAUGACUAUCGGAAGAAAGGAUGGCCUCUAUUUAUAAGCUAUCGCCGGAGGAGGGGUUUGCGUCUGAUUAGCUAGUUGGAGGGGUAACGGCCCACCAAGGCGACGAUCAGUAGCCGGUCUGAGAGGAUGAACGGCCACAUUGGAACUGAGACACGGUCCAGACUCCUACGGGAGGCAGCAGUGGGGAAUCUUCCGCAAUGGGCGAAAGCCUGACGGAGCAACGCCGCGUGAGUGAAGACGGCCUUCGGGUUGUAAAGCUCUGUUAUACGGGACGAAUAAUCUUGUGGUUAAUACCCAUAAGAAGUGACGGUACCGUAAGAGAAAGCCACGGCUAACUACGUGCCAGCAGCCGCGGUAAUACGUAGGUGGCAAGCGUUGUCCGGAAUUAUUGGGCGUAAAGGGCGCGCAGGCGGCUUCUUAAGUCUGUCUUAAAAGUGCGGGGCUUAACCCCGUGAUGGGAUGGAAACUGGGAAGCUCAGAGUAUCGGAGAGGAAAGCGGAAUUCCUAGUGUAGCGGUGAAAUGCGUAGAUAUUAGGAGGAACACCAGUGGCGAAAGCGGCUUUUUGGACGAAAACUGACGCUGAGGCGCGAAAGCCAGGGGAGCGAACGGGAUUAGAUACCCCGGUAGUCCUGGCCGUACACGAUGGGUACUAGGUGUAGGAGGUAUCGACCCCUUCUGUGCCGGAGU